AACUGAUACUACCUGCGGGAACCUGCGGAAGGAUCAUUACAGAGUUGCAAAACUCCCUAAACCAUUGUGAACGUUACCUAAACCGUUGCUUCGGCGGGCGGCCCGGGUCCUUCCCGGCGCCCCUCGGCCCUCGCGGGCGCCCGCCGGAGGAAAACCAAACUAUUGCAUUGUAUGGCCUCUCUGAGUCUUCUGUACUGAAUAAGUCAAAACUUUCAGCAAUGGAUCUCUAGAUCGGAAGAG
rnacentral:misc_RNA from 1 species